GUGUUCGCUUUGGCAGCACAUAUACUAAAAUUGGAAUAAUACAGAGAAGAUUAACACGUGCCUUGUGCAAGGAUGACAUGCAAAUUUGUGAAGCGGUCCAUAUUUUU